AUCAUUUCCAUUCCUGUAUUAUAACUUGUCUUGUUGUAAGGUUUGUUUUUCCCUGUGUCUGUCUCAGCCCUCCCCUCCCCAUCUGCCUUUGCCUCUGUAGGGCAUCCUGGUCCGUGGAUGGGCUUGGAUGCCAAGAGCUGCUCUGUAAGAACCUUCUCAGAUGAUGAUGAUGAUGAUGAUGAUGAUGAUGAUGAUUCUGGAGAAAGCAAAGACCACAUGGCCUGAUACUGAGGAUGCUGCUAGGCCGUGAAGCACCCACAGGAUCCUUUGUGUGCCAAUCAAGGGCACCCUUAGAGAAAUCAGGAAACUCUUCGCUGAGCAGGUUAAUCUUCAUGACGCCCAUGGUUCUGGAAUCGGAACACUAAUGAUUAGCACAGAAACUUCCCCACAGCCUCAGUAAUCAUUGACUUAUUAAUCCAUGCAGUUCAGGACCUUGUGCUGAGUUAUCUCUAUUUCCAUUCAUUGGUCAGUCUUUUCUGUCUGGACACAGGACCACUGUGGUCAGGUCAUCCAGUGGCACCGCCAUGGCCAUCCGGGUUUGCUGAGUGCCAUUCUGCUAACUUUUGUGAGCUGUGCUCUGUCUUGAGUCUGACACCUGAUUUGAAUAUCUGGCUUUACCAAUUACUAUCCUUAUCAUUUGGGUAAGUUGUUUAAACUCUCAAAGCCUCACUUUCCUUGUCUAUAAAAUGGGAGGAAUAACAGUUCCACCUCAUCAGGUUGCCGUGAGGCCUAAUGAAAGAAUGCAUUGUAAGUGCUUGGUAUGUGCCUCGCCCAUAUUAAGCAUGCCAAAAGCGACAGCUCUUGUUUUCCUAACUCAAUCAGAAAGCUCGUUAAGUGAUAUGACAUAAAA
rnacentral:lncRNA from 1 species